UACAGAGACUGCAAGCGUUAUUCGGAUUCACUGGGCGUAAAGGGUGCGCAGGCGGCCAAGUGUGUCAGGUGUGAAAUCCCGAGCUUAACCUCGGAACUGCGCCUGAAACUACUUGGCUAGAGUACUGGAGAGGGUAACGGAAUUCACGGUGUAGCAGUGAAAAUGCGUAGAUAUCGUGAGGAACACCAGAGGCGAAAGGCGGUUACCUGGACAGU
rnacentral:rRNA from 1 species